UGAAGGCUCCACCCUAGGUAAUCUCCU
rnacentral:misc_RNA from 1 species